AGCCUCAUAGCUCAGUUGGCUAGAGCGUUGGUCGUACUAAAGCCCUCCCCUUGCUGGCGUGGGUUCGAAUCUCACCGAGGCCG
rnacentral:tRNA from 1 species